UGGGGAAUUUUGGACAAUGGGCGAAAGCCUGAUCCAGCAAUGCCGCGUGUGUGAAGAAGGCCUUCGGGUUGUAAAGCACUUUUGUCCGGAAAGAAAUCCUUGGCUCUAAUACAGUCGGGGGAUGACGGUACCGGAAGAAUAAGCACCGGCUAACUACGUGCCAGCAGCCGCGGUAAUACGUAGGGUGCAAGCGUUAAUCGGAAUUACUGGGCGUAAAGCGUGCGCAGGCGGUUUGCUAAGACCGAUGUGAAAUCCCCGGGCUCAACCUGGGAACUGCAUUGGUGACUGGCAGGCUAGAGUAUGGCAGAGGGGGGUAGAAUUCCACGUGUAGCAGUGAAAUGCGUAGAGAUGUGGAGGAAUACCGAUGGCGAAGGCAGCCCCCUGGGCCAAUACUGACGCUCAUGCACGAAAGCGUGGGGAGCAAAACAGGAUUAGAUACCCUGGUAGUCCACGCCCUAAAACGAUGUCAACUAGUUGUUGGGGAUUCAUUUCCUUAGUAACGUAGCUAACGCGUGAAGUUGACCGCCUGGGGAGUACGGUCGCAAGAUUAAAACUUAAAUGAAUUGACGGGGUCAUGCUGUUUCCU
rnacentral:rRNA from 1 species